rnacentral:lncRNA from 1 species
UUCUCGGAGGCGUCGCUUCCGGGUGACGAAGGCGCGGCGCGCACCCAACUUUCCCUGUGCUGCCUCUCUAGCCUCCGGAGGCGGGCUCCUUUCUGUGGUCUUCACCCAUUUCCUCCGUGGCCUCGCCGUGUUUCCAGCCCUGAGGAAAGGAGACCGCACGCCCGCGACCGGCCGGCAAGACCUGCUCUGGAGAGCGAACGCGCGUGAGAUGAGAGGUGUAGAUGUCACUCAGACGACUGUCAGCAGUAUCUGCCAUGUGAGCCCACUGAUCAGUGACCUUGGUGAGCAGGUGAGCUCUUCACUGGCAAGAAGAAAUUCUCUCUUAGACAUCUUCCUGAUGCUUUGGCCCCUCCUCAACUUUGCCAGUCCCUAAGCCCCUCCUUUGAACUCCCCUUGCUGUUCUGUCUCUUUCAGACCCACCUGCGGGAAGAUCCCUAAUGUAAGGACCAUGUUGGUUUCUUCAUUUUCUUUUACACUCAAAAGCAGGCAUUGCUAGGUAUUUGCUGGCUUCGCUGUUCUUUUAUAUGACAGUACUAAUGCCAUACCCUGCAUUCUCAACCCAGUAGGAUAGAGGCUAUCCGUGGAAACACCAAAAUUACAGAACACCUGCAUGCAAAAGACUGGACAAACACUGGCUAAUGCACUUGUUGUAUGGCUGGGACUCAGACUCCUUUUCUCCGGCAUUGUAGAAGGUAGGUGAACACUUUUCAACAUCCUUUACCUUGCACGGGUCUCAGUCAUUUACCCAUGGGAAUUUGCUAUCUCUGGAAAAGCAUCAUACUAGUAUUUGUUAUCAUUAAAGGAAUCUUGUUCCUUAGAACUGAAGUUAUCUUCAUAUGAAUGUUUCAUAUCACUUGGGAAAGUUGGCAAAAAUACCACGUACUGUUGCUGCUUUGAUUGUUUUGGUUUGAGGAGGCUUUUUUUCAGUGCUGCGUAUCACACUCAGGUCCAUGCCCAUGGCUGGCAAAUGCUCUACCACUGAGCUGCAGUCCCAGCCCAGGUGUCAUUAUUUCAGUUGUUAAAAUCAAUACAACUCCCUUCAUAACAUUGAUCACCCCAACAUGCUGUGCAUU